AGGGACAAAGAGGAUUCAGAGGAAACAAGGGUCAUGAUGGUGACAUUGGACUCGAUGGGAUUGAUGGACAGGAGGGAGAGCGAGGAUCUCCUGGAUCGCUAGGACCAAGGGGCCGUUCAGGACGGAGGG